rnacentral:rRNA from 1 species
GAUGAACGCUGGCGGCGUGCCUAAUACAUGCAAGUCGAGCGAACAGACGAGGAGCUUGCUCCUCUGACGUUAGCGGCGGACGGGUGAGUAACACGUGGAUAACCUACCUAUAAGACUGGGAUAACUUCGGGAAACCGGAGCUAAUACCGGAUAAUAUAUUGAACCGCAUGGUUCAAUAGUGAAAGACGGUUUUGCUGUCACUUAUAGAUGGAUCCGCGCCGCAUUAGCUAGUUGGUAAGGUAACGGCUUACCAAGGCAACGAUGCGUAGCCGACCUGAGAGGGUGAGAGGGCACAAGAGAGCUGACACACGGACCAGACUACAGCGGGAGGCAGCAGUAGUGAGUGAUCCGGAAGGGGCGAAAGCCUGACAAAGCAACGCAGCGUGAGUGAUGAAGGUCGUCGGAUCGUAGAACUCUGUUAUUUGGGAAGAACAAAUGUGUAAGUAACAAGGCACGGCUAGACGGUACCUAAUCAGAAAGCCACGGCUAACUACG